UUGGGGGCCACCCAAAAGUAUACUUCUUAAUUGAAUUUCACUAUUAAUAUACUUCUUAAUUGUAUUUCAGUUCAACAAUUACUUUGAUAAAAUCCAUAUUCUGUUAUGUGCAAAUGGCUUUAGAUACCUAUUAGGCCCAUAAAUUACCAUGUAGCAUAUAUUCAACACAAAAAACAGCAGCAAUUUGUUGUUGACAAAGGGCCCCAUUACCUUCAGUAGCUUAGGGCCUCGUCAAACCUAAAUCCGGCCCUGCACACACCCUCCAGACAUCUGUGUUCCCUGCAAUCGAUGAACCUGCAGUCCUGAACUAGGAUCCCAUUCAGGGCAGUGGGAGUUGCUUCUUGAACAAGCAUGUUUAUGGUUGGUUUUAGUCACUUACAUUAAGGACGUAAAAUCAGAUCAAAGUCCACAGUGCCAAAGCUGGGGAAACCAGAAAGAAAUGGGGAACAAAUCCAGUGACACUAAACAGAUGGGAAACGGUUCUUCUGCCACAUCAAAGGGAAAAGUCAUCCUUCUACCAGGCAUGAUCAUUCAAGGUGAGGCAACUAAAAUAUAGAAUGGAAAAGAAAAUAUCUGUGUGAGAAACAGCAAGUUCAUCCAGUUCUAAGAAAAUCUUCUCUCAGGUGAUCCUAAUAUCUGUGUUCCUGAGUAAAGAAAAUCAAUCAAUAAAAAUAUUGCAAGUAUUGAGCUGAAACAAACAUGUUUUGUGCAUAUUUUUUUACCCCUUUCAAAAGGAUGCAUGACUGGUGGAAAGGAAAUGUAUCCCUACUGCCAAGACAAUUUGAUCAGUGCAUAAAGGUAGAACUCAGCUGAAUGGUCCAGGUUUCAAGUCAAAAGCCAGACAAAAGCUACUUUCUGUUUUAAAAGGAACCUUCCACAGAGAGUUAAUCCUCACACAAUCACCA